rnacentral:rRNA from 1 species
UACGUAGGUGGUAAGCGUUGUCCGGAUUUACUGGGCGUAAAGGGAGCGUAGGCGGACUUUUAAGUGAGAUGUGAAAUACCCGGGCUCAACUUGGGUGCUGCAUUUCAAACUGGAAGUCUAGAGUGCAGGAGAGGAGAAUGGAAUUCCUAGUGUAGCGGUGAAAUGCGUAGAGAUUAGGAAGAACACCAGUGGCGAAGGCGAUUCUCUGGACUGUAACUGACGCUGAGGCUCGAAAGCGUGGGGAGCAAACAGGAUUAGAUACCCCGGUAGU